rnacentral:rRNA from 1 species
CCACCAGGAGUGGAGCCUGCUUCUUAUUUUGACUCAACACGGGAAAUCUCACCACGCCCCGACACCGGAAGGAUUGACAGAUUGACACCUCUUUCUUGAUGCGGGGGGUGGUGGAGCAUGGCCCUUCUUAGGUGGAGGAGCGAUUUGUCUGGUUUAUUCCGAUAACGAACGAUACUCUCUCCUGCUAAAUAGGCAGUGGAUUAUUCGUCUACUGUACUUCUUAGAGGGACAAGCAGCGUCUAGCUGCACGAGAUUGAGCAAUAACAGGUCUGUGAUGCCCUUAGAUGUUCGGGGCUGCACGCGCGCUACACUGAAAGAAUCAACAUGCUUCU